rnacentral:rRNA from 1 species
GACGAACGCUGGCGGCGUGCCUAAAACAUGCAAGUCGCACGGUGAAGGAAGCUUGCUUCCGGAUCAGUGGCAUACGGGUGAGUAACACGUGAGGAACCUGUCGCACGGUGGGGGAUACCUCCUCGAAAGGGGAGUUAAUCCCGCAUAGGGCGCGCGGACCGCAUGGUCUGCGCGGGAAAGCCGAAAGGCGCCGAGUGAGGGUCUCGCGGCCUAUCAGCUAGUUGGUGAGGUCAUGGCUCACCAAGGCGACGACGGGUAGCCGGCCUGAGAGGGUGAUCGGCCACACUGGGACUGAGACACGGCCCAGACUCCUACGGGGGGCAGCAGUUGGGAAUCUUGCGCAAUAGGCGAAAGCUUGACGCAGCGACGCCGCGUGCGGGAUGACGGUCUUCGGAUUGUAAACCGCUUUUCUUCGGGACGAUAAUGACGGUACCGAAGGAAUCAGCCCCGGCUAACUCCGUGCCAGUCGCCGCCGUAA